GAGGGUAUAGCUCAGUGGUAGAGUGUGUGCUUGGCAUGCAUGAGGUCCUGGGUUCAAUCCCCAGUCCCUCCA
rnacentral:tRNA from 1 species